GGGCUGAUCUCGGGACAUAGCGCCGACAGAUUCAAACUCUGAUAAAUGGCUCGCAGCGCCACGCCUGCACAAAUGGAAGCUUCUGAAAUAAGUCCAGAGUGCCAGCAUGUUCCUCCUCCCCUUUGUCUGUGCUGUAAAGAAUGUUCCCUCAUCACUGCUGCUGUGUAAAUGUCCCCUGCUUUGCUGAUGGAUCUUCGCAGGGUGGAUUCAACAGCAGGAUCUGAUUGAAUUCCCCACCAUUAGAUUAAUCUCAAGCAGACACAUGGAGCUGCCUGCACAUAAUAAAAACAAAAAUAAAUAUAAUACAAAAAACAUAAAAACGCAUACAUCCAAAUGCAUAUGAACAUAAUCACAUACACACCAAUACACACAAAAUACCGAUGCACACAUACACAGUAAUUGUGCAUAAACACAGCCAUAUACAUCCAAACUGGGUAUUUUGUUUUACUCCCAGGCUACACUGUACUGGGCACUGUGACAACAGAAGCUCUAACCUAUGUAUCUAUUGUGUAUGUAAUGUAUAUGUAGGCUAUAGUGUAUUUAUUUCAUUUUAUUUAUUGUAAACAGAUUGAUUUACCAUCAUGUAGAAUUAGAUACCCCUUGUCAUGUUUGUUAAAGUCUGUUUCCUGUAUUAUUUAGUCUCGUUUUCCUCCCUAGUCUUGUCUUGUUGCGCUUCCUGUCUUGUUUUUUCCUCCUAUUUGAUUGUUCUGCCCCGCCCUGAUUUGUAUCACCUGCUCCUCGUUAGUGUUCAUUACCCUAUGUAUUUAGUCUCUCUGUUUCCGUUUCCGUCUGUUGCUGGAUUCUUACUUUCUGUUUGUGUGCUACCUGUUGUGGUUUUCCUGGCUGGAAUAAAUGUGUUUUAACUGCA